rnacentral:rRNA from 1 species
UACAGAGGGUGCAAACGUUGUUCGGAUUUACUGGGCGUAAAGCGCGUGUAGGCGGCUUUGCAAGUCGGAUGUGAAAGCCCACGGCUCAACCGUGGAAGUGCAUCCGAAACUGCAUGGCUGGAGUCUCGGAGAGGAAGGUGGAAUGCUUGGUGUAGAGGUGAAAUGCGUAGAUAUCUGGAGGAACACCGGUGGCGAAGGCGGCAUCCUGGACCGGUAUUGACGCUGAGGCGCGAAAGCUAGGGGAGCAAACGGG